UAGGGAAUCUUCCGCAAUGGACGAAAGUCUGACGGAGCGACGCCGCGUGAGCGAAGAAGGUCUUCGGAUCGUAAAGCUCUGUUGUUAGGGAAGAAGAAGUGCCGUUCGAACAGGGCGGCACGGUGACGGUACCUAACGAGAAAGCCCCGGCUAACUACGUGCCAGCAGCCGAGGUAAUACGUAGGGGGCGAGCGUUGUCAGGAAUUAUUGGGCGUAAAGCGCGCGCAGGCGGUCCCUUAAGUCUGAUGUGAAAGCCCACGGCUUAACCGUGGAGGGGCAGUGGAAACUGGGGGGCUGGAGUGCAGAAGAGGAGAGCGGAAUUCCACGUGUAGCGGUGAAAUGCGUAGAGUAGUGGAGGAACACCAGUGGCGAAGGGGGCUCUCUGGUCUGUAACUGACGCUGAGGCGCGAAAGCGUGGGGAGCAAACAGG
rnacentral:rRNA from 1 species